CUCGCGAGACCUGUCUGUGCGGACCGCCCCGCGGGCGGUCCUUGCACUCCCGCUGAGACCUCUCUCCGGCAGCUGCCUGGCUCCGCCCUGUCCCGUCGCGCGCGGACGCGCCCAGCAGGGGGCGCCGUCUCCGUGCUCUUGGAGCCGCCGUUCCUCCCACGCGCACCUGCAGCGGGGCGGAAAGGGGCGCGGCCUGGAAUGCGGACAAACCCUCCAGCCCGCUUUCCGGAAGGGGCCCGGGGCGAGUUUAAGCGUCACUGAGGCCCGCCCUCGCUGCAGCCGGACGGAAAGUCCCAUCCCGCUGGAACAGGCGAGGGCGCCGAGGAACCCAGAGGACUGCAGCAGGGGGCACAGGUGUCCGUCCACAAGCUACCUUCCUAGGUGACAGCUCCUGCCAGAGAGCGUCCCAGUAUAUUCCUGCAGGAACGCAGCGCCACGCUCUUCCUGGAGUGGGCGAAAGAUCUAAUAAACUCGAGUUCCUACACGCCGCUUUCAUUAAUGUUACGAAGAGCAAACUUUAUCAUUUGCCCGCCGCUCCUUUUUUCGAGGCGGGAGAGGGCGGUAAGAGGCACAGACUCGGUCCCGUAAGUCAUUCUUCCGUCUUCAAAGCACCGAGCAACUACGGAUGAAGUGAGAGCACGUCUCGGCACCGCUUCAAGAGGCCGGGGUGGGAAGGGGGGCAUCUGCGGAAAUAGAUGCUUCCUGUUGUGCCCGUGUGAUGGCUGCGAUGUCCUACGAGUUCAUCUGUAAGUACAAAUGACAGUCCGCCCAACUGUGUUCAAGUUUUCCUACACGCGCUAGGGGACCGGGUGUGCGGUGUCACCGAAAACCUUUCAAAAAGGCCAAGUCCUUCGAGCCGGAUUCGAACCAGCGACCUAAGGAUGACCACAACCACACGCCUACAGUCCUCCGCUCUACCAACUGAGCUAUCGAAGGAUUGGCGGUCUUUAAAAAAGGAAAUACCACCAUCCAUGUUCCAUAUCCUGCUCCCUGAGGCCCAUCACCCUUAUCCCUACUGCAGCCCGCUGUCCCGGCCACUUAACGCCUGUUAUAGUGGCCGAUAAAUGAUAACUUAUCCUAAAUAUAGAUAACUGGGUUGAAGAGGGCUCUACUGUCUUAAAGCAGAGACACUGCCAAGUUCAUUUUGGAAACAUUGCAUUUCUCCUUGUUGAAAGACAAGGAAAGUGUACAGACGGAAAUGUGCUAGACCCAAACCACGAGGGGCAUCGUGUAUGCGAGUGUAUGUCUAGGAACUGAGUGCCUCAUAUUAGAGUGGACCAAAUAAAUGAAAUACGCCCCUCCCCAAUUUUGAGAAGAGCAAUGUAGACAUUUAUUGGGGGGGGGGGUUGCUAUCAUGCAUUGCUAAUGAACGCCUGUAAUGGUGUUUGGCUUCCUGGUUGAACACGGUUGGAGAAAACAGGAAGCCAUCUGGACAGACAUUUCUUGAUGAUGUAUCCUUAGAAAAGAUUUCUGGUAAGUUUAUCUAUAAAAGAGUAUUUCUUAUUUAAAAAUACUUCGUAACUGUAGUCUUGGAAAAAAUACAUUUUUCUUCAGAAGAUCCUACCCAGUGACUUCUAUGAGAAAUCUGCCAACACAUAAUUCAUAUUAAAUGUAGUUGUUCUGUUCCCUCUCAUGAGAAACUAAGAAUAUAUGGUCUAGUACAUUUCUCUCCUUUUUUUUUUUUUUAAGUUUACGUAUUUAUUUUUAAGAGACAGAGAGAAAACGUGGGGGAGGGGCAGAGAGAGAGAGCUGUUUUCAAAAGAUACCACUAAGAAAAUGAAAAGUCAAACCACAGACUGGGAGACAGUAUUUGCAGAACAAACAUCUGAUAUACAAGACUUUUAUCCAGUAUAAAGCAUUCUCACAACUCAAUCAGGAGGCAAACCAUUCAAUUUUUUGUAAAAAAGGGAAGGAUCUCAACAGACAUUUCACCGAAGAUGUGCAGAUGACCUAUAACUACCUGAAAAGGUAGACAUCAUUAGCCACGAGGGAAAUGCAGAUUAAGCCCCAGGAGAUGCCUCCACACAUUCAUCAAAGGAGGCUGAAAUCUAAGACGACCCCAAGAUUUUCACCCACCUCUUAGAAUAUCUGAAUAAUCCCCUCCCCAUAAAUGUGGGUGGGACAUGUGAAUGUGUUACAGUGUUCGUUACGAUUCUGAAUGGCCAAUAUUUGAAAGACUGACUGUGCUAAGAUGUGGAGAAACGAACUGCAAUGAGAAUGUAAAACGGUAUAGCCCCCUUGGAUAACAGCUGGUAGUUUCUUUGAAAGUUAAAUACACACCUCCCAUAGGAUCCAGCAGUCCCAUGCCUAUGUUAUUUACUGAAAAUAAAUGAAAACGCACGUCCACACAAAGACUUACACCCGAAAUAUUUAUAGCCACGUAAUAGUUGGUGAGGACCGCCAUAACAACGCGCCACAGGCUGGGUGACUCAAGCAACACAAAUUUAUUUCCUCACAGCUCUGGAAGCUGAGGCCCAAGAUCAAGGUGUCAGCAGGGUUGAUUUCUUCUGCGGCCUCUGUUUGGCCUCAGAAGGGUAUCUUCUUGUUUCCUCCUUCCACGGUAGUUACUUUGUACUCACAUGCUCCUAGCGUCUCUCUCUGUGUCCUCAUCACCUCCUCUUAUAAAGAUGCCAGCCACAUCGGGUCAAGGCACACAAUGAAUGCAGUAACGUCUUUCAGGGUCCAUCUCCAAAUACGGUCUCAUUCUGAUGUACUGGAAAUCAGGGCUUCAACAUAGGAACGGGGGGGUGGGUGGUUAUUCGGUCCAUAACAAGCAGUUUUGUUAUUAAUAAGAAAGCCAAUACCAACGUUCGUUAGCUGGUGAGUGAAGAAACAAAUCGUAGUACAUCCCUACCAUGGGCUACUGACCAGUAAGAGGGAAUGAACCAUGAAUAUACACCCGACAAGGGUGAAUCCCAACAGCACUGCUAGGUAAAGGAAGCCAGGCUCCCAGCCGCACGCUGCGCGAGUCUCUUUCUAGACUUUUGCAGAAAGUACUGCGACGGAAAGCAGAUCAGUGCUUCUGAAGGCGGAAGUAAACUUUUUGGAGGGAUGAAAAGGUUCUAUGUCAUGAUGGUUGUGGUAGUUCUGUGACUGAAUAUAAUUUUCAAGACUCACCGAACUAUACACUUAAAAAGACUUAAAAGGAAUGGAUUUUACUAUGUGUGUGUCGGGUUUUUGUUUUGUUUUGUUUUAGAGAGAGAGAGAGAGAGUGCACAAGCAGGGGAGAGGGGCAGGGGGGAGAGAGAAUCUUCAGCAGGCUCCGACACCAGGGCUCGAUCUCAAACACCAUGAGAUCCUGACCUGAGCCAAAAUCAGGAGUCAAAUGCUUAACCAACUGAGCCCCCCAGGAGCCCCUGACUUUUACUGUGUUUAAAUUACAUUUCAAUAGAGGUAAUUAAAAACAAAAGAAAACUGGUCAUCCAAACGGAAACUUCAACACCAACUCGAUGCCAUUGCUAAGCAGUCUGUUUGUUGCUGCACGCGGCCUCCUUAUCACCUAUUCCCAACUUACUCUGUUUACUUGUUCUUUUACCCACAGUACUUACUAUUUGCAGCAUAUUAUGCAAUUACACAAAUUUGUGUUUACCCUAUUUUUAAAUCUCCAGUGCGUUCAAGCUGAUGUUUUGUAUCACAUACAAGAGUUUUAGUCAUCCUAAAUGUCACAUUUGGACAGACCUAGUUGCAUUUAUGAAAAGCGCGUAGAAACAAAUGCAAAUCCUUCACCAGCGAAGGAACCAGCGUGCAUCACUCAGAGAUGCUAGACUUUCAGCAAACUGACGUUCUCAUGGACUUUUAUGUUGUCUCCCCCCAGGGGAAGCCAAGCGUAUUUGGCUUUUAGGAAGGAGGGUGGGCAGAAUCGUCGGUGGCUGCGUGGUGAACUGUAAUGGACACUGUUGCUUUUCAAAAAUCUCCUGACAUUGUGUUGUACCAUAUCUAAGAUUAGAGUUCAUUACUCCUUUAGAAAUAGAUGCGGCCGUGUGACACAACUGUUUUGACAAAUGAGAUGUCCCUCCUGGAAGUUGGAGAGUUAGUGAGCCAUCCACCACACCCCUCUUGACCCUUCCCCUGACAAAAUAUGAUCUGAGUUGUUGGGGAUCCACAAGGAGCCCACCAGGCAAACCAUGACUGAUUUAUAUGACGCCAAAGAGUUUCCGGUUACGAGCCAUCAUGAUUUGCAGAGGGGGGGAUGCUUGUGGCUGCAGUGUAACCUACCCUACUCAGGCGGACACAUACAGGAAAUGUGCAAGUCUGAAUCCACGAAGAAGGCUCAUUCUCCUCCUAGGAAAACACCCAACAGAAAUGUGUGAGCUUCUGCACCAAGAGAUAUGUGUGGUAAGAGGGUUCAAAGAUUUGUUUGUUGGUUGGUUUCCAAUUGUCCGUGUUCUAUCACUGAGUGAAAGAAAAGUUCAGUGACGUUUGCCGAGAGUCUGCCUGCCAGCCUAGUGUCAUUUUGUAUUACUUUAAGAGAGGUGAGUUUUUUUUCCAGUCACUCCAAGAAAUGGAUUCCAGGAAAGUAUUCUGGAAAAGCUGCUCAUCGUAGGCUCAGGCUCUUUGUGGAAUUUCUAGAUGUGUUGAGCUAAAAGUGGAGCAAAUUUAUCAGAGUGAAUCCAGAUCUUGGAUGGGAUUUGAAAAGGCUGUGGCAAUUUUUCAAGACUGAAAACUGCAGUAGUUGGGACUCCAGCAAAAAGGAUAAGUCGUUAGACACCAGGCGUUUCACCUGCUCUGUCCUGCGUCACGUGGGCCACAGGACUGCCCUGUUCUCCUUUCCCCUCUUGCAACAACAUUCCAGAAUUCAGCCUGCUUAAAACUUGGUAGCUUCUACCCGCCGUUUCGUUGCUGGGAACAGGCUUCCCCAAAGACAGACUGAAAAGGACAGCAGGAAUCUUCAAACCCUCCUAAUUCCUUGCUGUUCCUGAAAAUUACCAUUCGAGAUCAUUUUUAAAUGUUGGGUUUUACACCAAACUAUUAGCAAACAGGCUGAGCAUGAUAUUCUACGAGAAGCUACACGACUGUCUCAAACAUGCGUGCCAUGUCUGAGUUCACGGCCGAAAGCUAGAGGAAAGCUGUGGGUGGUCUGGUCCCCCUGACGGCGGGCAGCAGACAGGGCUUCCGCAGGCUCAGCUCCUUCGACGCGAUCGGCUGGGAGCAGAGCAGGUGUCUUGGGUCACGAGCGAACCCGCGUGUACAAGUUCGACCUCCUCGUUUGUUUGCACGCGUCCCAGCGCGGGGACAUCCUCAAGGUGCAGGCGGCCUCCCACCCGCGCACUCGGUUCAUCUGAAAGGUGAUUGUCCUCCACUCCUGGUGUGUUUGCAGAGGGGACAGGAGGCUUGGGCUGGUCCUGUCCCCUCUUCCGUCCUUCACACCGAUCUCUUCGAGACACAGGAGCGGGAGAAAGGAGAACACAUCUCGGGUUUGUGCCCAAAGGUCACAGGUUGCGGGCAGGGUGUGGCUCUGGGGUUAGACGGUGCCACGGUGGUGGCCAUAUCUGGGCGGUGGGUACGAUGGGAGUUCGUUAUGCUGCGUCCUGGGUGUGUCUGAAAUUUCUCCGACAGAAGUCUUCAGACAUCACCGGGCUAACAGGGCCCCCAGCGGCGGGCUCGGACCCCAACGUCGGAGACACUCGCGCGCCCUCGCGGUUGCGCUGCGCGGAGCCGGCGCCGGGGCCGCGCGCGGGGAAACGCUGAACCUGGAACCCGGGACGGCCGCGCGCAGGGAGCCCAGGGUCGGGACCGCGCGCGCGGAGCCGGGCCGCCCUCGCGAGCGUGUGAGUUUCACAGGCGAAAAGGUGAACGGAGACUCGUGGGAAGGGCUUCCCCACCCCCUUCCCCCCUUCCCUAGAGCCACCGCGUUGGCAGUCUGUUCCGACGCGCUUUGUGCUUGUAAAUAAGAGAGCGCAUUCAGGUUUGAAUCUCAGUUAAAACCUGAAACUGCGCAGCGCGGAAAGGGACUAUUCCCUGCGUUCAGUAAGGGUCUAAGUGUUGCUGUGGCGUCGCUGGAGUUGUCUACGAUUUCCAAAAUUGUCGUCCUUCGAGCCGGAUUCGAACCAGCGACCUAAGGAUGCCCAACUAUCGCACCUACAGUCCUCCGCUCUACCAACUGAGCUAUCGAAGGACUCCUGGGAGGCAGCCUUUCAGGAUUCCUAAAAUAAUGUCGGUCCAGACGGUCUCUGUGUUGGUAAUGUUCACGUGCACUUUUCAAAGUGCAGCCUUAAGCUGACUUCCUAGACCCCGAAUGUGUUUUAUAUAGUGAUCUGGAUAGACAGCUGGUUCCAUGGGUUUAUAAAGACAUAAAAUUCAUUGGGUUAUACAUAUAAGACAUUAGGAUAUCACUUAUGUAGCUCUCAAGCAAAGCCCCUAAGGCUGUCCCCUGUCCUCCUCCCCCAGGAACAAUAUAGCUGAAGGUAGUGCCCUCUUAUUAUGGACCGAUUUCCUUCCUUCCUCUCUGGUUACCUACUUCUUCUCUCCAGAGUGUCAAAGUUUGCUCAAUAAAUGUUAUGGUUGCCCUAAAUACAGACAACUAGGUUGGAGAAGAUCCCUGGGUUGUGAACAGAGCAAGGUCCCAUGCAUUUUGGUACAUUGCAGUACUCCACAGUGAAAGUCCAAUGGGAAAUCGUGUCUAUUCUUAACUCUAAUGAUGAAAAAUGUGGAGUGUUUUUGUGUGUGUGUGUGUGUGUGUGUGUGUGUGUGUGUGUGUGUGUGUAAAUGUUCUUAGAUAAAUAUGGGCUGGGUGGUUUACAUUCCACUGCAUAGUUAUAGUAGAGCAAUUAAAAUGAAACAAAAAUUCUUAAAAUUCUUAAGUGGGAAUAUAAAUAUUCCUUACCCAAAGAAAAUCAGACAACAUUGAGGUUCAACAGAAAUUGAUCAGUUUCCUUGCACCUGCUACAGAAAUAGACACAAGUAGAGAAUUUGCUAAACUACCUGGAGCAAAAGGGCUUUCCUUUGUAAUAUAUUUAAGGAAAAGAUUAAGUGGGUUUCUCUAUAAAAUAUCUGUGCUUCUUAUAAUAAAAGUUCUACAAAACCAUA